UUACACAUGCAAGUCGCACGGGCAUUCUUUGGGAUGUCAGUGGCGGACGGGUGAGUAACGCGUAGGGAUGUGUCCAUGGGUGGGGGAUAACUGCGGGAAACUGCAGCUAACACCGCAUGAUGGUUGAGGCCUAAAGGCGCCGCCGGGAGGUGGAGGUCGCCUGUGGAGCACCCUGCGUCCGAUUAGCUAGUUGGUUGGGUGAUGGCUGACCAAGGCGACGAUCGGUAGCUGGUCUGAGAGGAUGAUCAGCCACACUGGGACUGAGACACGGCCCAGACUCCUACGGGAGGCAGCAGUGGGGAAUAUUGGACAAUGGGCGCAAGCCUGAUCCAGCAAUGCCGCGUGUGUGAAGAAGGUCUUAGGAUUGUAAAGCACUUUCGGCGGGGACGAUGAUGACGGUACCCGCAGAAGAAGCCCCGGCUAACUUCGUGCCAGCAGCCGCGGUAAUACGAAGGGGGCUAGCGUUGCUCGGAAUGACUGGGCGUAAAGGGCGCGUAGCGGAUUGCAUAGUCAGGCGUGAAAUUCCUGGGCUCAACCUGGGGACUGCGUUUGAUACGUGUGGUCUAAGUUUGGAAGAGGGUCGUGGAAUUCCCA
rnacentral:rRNA from 1 species